UGCUGGGGAAGAGUGUGGCCUCAGCUCAAAAGCAGAAUCGGAUCCUGAAGGACCUAAUGACUAGAAACUUCCAGCUGACUACACUCUGCAACUGACUGAUUUGAAAGUCUAUAGAAUAUUACAUCUCUGACCUGAAGGACUUGCUUUAGCAUUUCUUGUACUACAAGUCUGAUGGAGAUGGCACAUUGCACAAAGAAACACGAACCCAGCAGCACCCCUGCCAGUGGCAAUUCUGAGCGCACAUUUCCACUUUGCCAAGACAUUACAUGGGAAGGCAUGUGCGUUUAAGGGCAUCCAAUUGUUUCUGUACCAGAACAGCAGCAACAUCCCUAGCAGGCCUUUCCUCUGGAGUUCACAUGUAGGUCGUACUGACACACAAUACAGCCUAAAGGGACCAUGGAGGAGGAAGGGACCCCAAAUCCAGGCCAAAUGGGGGCAGGGUUGUCCUCAGGAGGACUCCAGCUAGAAGACUUUCUCUGGAACCCAUGGUGCCCUCUCACUAAAGUGCCCCAAUGUUGGCACAACACCUACCGAAUUGUUGGUGCUGACUCUCUAUACCCAUGAUUCAACCAGAACAAUGUUGAUUGUUAAAAAAGUGCAUUAAUAAACUUGACUCUGGAAACAA